rnacentral:lncRNA from 1 species
AUCUCUAAAAUUAAUAUAUUUUUGUAAAAUUCAUUGCCUCAAUGCCCUUAGCCUGUCUAUCAAAGUUAACAAUAUUUCAAUCCAUCCCAUGUUGUACUUUUUUCUCUUUGCUUCUUGUGGUAUUAUUUACUGCACUCUCUUUCCCUCAUAUUUCUUGUUAAUGGAAGUUAGCUCUAGAAACUUGGUUGGGUUCAGGGUUUAGUAAAAAUACUUCAAGGAGAUGCUGAGCAUAGUUUAGCUUCUGAAAGCAAUUUUAUUCUCAUCUCUGUGGCAUAGCAGUUCAGGAUACCCCCACAAUUACUAACAGCCAUUUUCGUUUCUUACAACUCUGAGAGUGUCUUCUAAGAAAUUACAAAGAAACAAAAGCAAAUUCACAGUGGGUAGUUUGCCUUUGAUCUUUCCUUCCUUCUUCACUGUGACCAUCAGUCAUCCAAUAUUUUUUUCAGAGUUUUCGUCUAGGACUUACUCUCAUCCUCCCUUCUGAAAGUUUUUUGAAAAUUAUCUUUCUCCAUUCUCAAAAAAGCAGGUGGCUUAGGAGGAGUUGUAACACAGAAAUGUAUCUAGAAAGAAUACAAUUCUAAAAGACUACAUAAAGACUAUACUCAUCACAAGAAAUCUGUACCUAUCCAUCUGCUUUAUCUAGAGUCACUUCUUUUAAAUUUUACUUCUUUUAAAUUUGUUUGUAUUCAGGAAACCAGUACAGUAGACUCCUUCCUUUUACUUUCCUCUAAGAGUUCGCCGCUGGAGAGAAAAUUAUGGGAGAAUGUUCUGCAUGUUUUAACAGCUGGGUUGAUAAUAGUGUGUAGAUACUGAUUCUCAAUAGUUUUCAGUGAGAUUGAUGACUGGAACCCAUCAGGUGCCAUGGAGGAGGGUUAGCCCAGCUAUCCCUUCUGGAGACCAUCUUAUUUUUCUGACAUUAGGUUAAGAGAACAUUACUCUUACCUUUGCUGUAAGUUACAUUGCAAUCAUAUUUUCUCAUUGACUAACAAAGAAUGGCAUUCUGCAUGUACUUUUAUCCCUUAUUCUUAGCCUUCUCCCUAGGUGGGGUUAGUCUUAGAAUACAUCAUAUAGAUUGUCAGAGGAAACUAAGAAACAUCCAAAAUAUUGGUUUGAAGCUAAGAAUUAUAAUUCAGCAGCUUUGGGAAAUUAUUUUAGACCAUUAUCUCAAAUAAAUAUUAUCAUUUUUUCCUGAUUAUCCUCCAUCUUUUGAUUCCUAAAGUACUAAUUUGAACAGUAUUCUAAACCCUAUAUUUACUGAAAAGCUUCAUUGUUUCUCAUGCCCCUGGGGAAAUCUAUUUUUUGUUUGUUUUGUUUUGUUUUCUGCUCCUCUGUGUAUAGUUUGAGAAAGGUUCAGAAGGUAUCCAGGGAAAACUGAGAAAAGAGAAGACACCCUCUGUUAGUUUACUAGGGUUGCCAUGAACAAAAUAUGCUAUAGACUAGGUGGCUUAAACAACAGAAAAUUAUAUUCUCAUUGUUCUGGAUGCUAGAAGUCCAAAAUCAAGGUGUAUCGGGUUGGGUUUUCCAUGAGGCCUCUCUCUUUGGCUUGCAGAUGGCCAUCUUUCUCACUGUGCACCCAUGUGGCCGUUUCAUUGAUGUCUCUUCCUCUUUAAGGACAUCAGUCAUGUUGGAUUAGGGCCCUUCCCUUAUGACUUUAUUUCAUAAGUACCUUUUUUAGAGGUCCUGUCUCCAAAAUACAGUCACAUAGGGGGUUAAGUCUUCAACAUAUGAAUAUGGAAGAAUACAAUUCAGCCCAUAGCAUGCCCUUGAGAGUACUUUUUCUGAUCUGUAACUGCAUGUAUAAAAAUAGGCCAUCUCAAUUAUAUGGGCUCUACAUUUCAAGUAUGCAUGCCAAAGUCUGAAUGUAUAUUUAUUAGCAGACUUGACUCACAGCCUAAUGGCAUGCUACUGAAUCAUAUUUACAUGUGAUCAUAGUUGACUGGGGAAAUAAUUCAGGUGUUUAUCCUGUUUUGUAUGUGUGUAUGUGUGUGUGUAGUCAUCUAGUUAUUUACGGUUUUGAUAAUUUAUUAAAAUGACCCCCUCCAAGCUUUUACUGUCAUCCCUCACAAAGAAUGAACACAGCAGAUAUUUAGGUCUGCCUUUAUGUCUGAAAAUCAUGCUUUUUUUUUUUUUAAAUGACACUACCCUUGUAAAGGAUAGCACUUUUUUAGCUACUUGUCUCCAUGUAUAAAUUUUAAAUCCUUUCCUUAAUGCAUGUAUGAUGAGUUAGAAAAAGUGAUUAGUAGUUUUAGUAGUUCCUUGAGAUUCAAUAAAAGGGGAGUCUCAGACGUAAGCAAGUUAUUAAAUUGGAGAAAGGCAUAUUGGCAAUGACAAUUAAAUAGGGCUGUGACUUGCAUAUAAAAGUGUGGGAAUGAAAAAAUUAGUGAAUUUAUGAUUGAAUUUUAUGCAUUCAACAUGGAAAUAAUAUUGUAAAUUGAAAAAAUGGGCUAGAAGACCUUUUUAAAAUAAUAGUUUUGGAGAAUGAUUUUUACGUCAUAAUGCAGGGUAUGCAUAACAUAAAUUCUAGUACUAAAUCACUAUGUUGUUUAGGGUCAAAAUUGUAUUUUUGAAAAAGUUUUUAUUCUUAAAAAAUACUCUUGCUAAAGAAAGUUCACAUUCAUAAGUAUGGAUAAUUUCUUCCAAGUUUUGUAACUUAAGACAAACUAAGUCUAAACUCUCUCCUGUCUACCAGGGGUUAAGAUAAUUAGCAACAAGUUAGAGUAAUGAAAUUAAAUCACUACUCAGGAUAAAUGGUUGCCUUUGGUCUGCAUGAUAAGCUGUGACUCUGUGAUGGGUAUGAAAGUUUAUGUGCCAGACAGAAGGGAUUGUCACCUUGAUUUUUUUUCUUUUUUGAAGUCUGUCCCAGACCAGUUCAGCUGUUAAAUUUCAAUUAAACUAAAUGCAGUCAGAAAAACAACAUUAAAAGAAGGGUUGGAAAUGUAAGUAUAUUUCUUUUAUCUAGUCCGAGCUGUUGGCAAAGUAAGCUGGCUUUUCCAUACUUGGCAUUUAUUAAUAAUAUUUUGAAUACCAUUGCGCUUUUUAAGCUGAGUGUGGUGGAAUUCUCUUGUGGGAUUAUUAAAUGAGUCGAUUUGCAUUCUAAUGAGAACAAAUGUUUGGGAUUGCAUUGUUAAAAUGCUAAAACGGUGUGUGUAUAAUUAUUUUGCAGCUUAGAUUCGCAGAACUCAUUUCCCCAAACUCCUUUUUUUAAAUAACUAAAGAGUCAGAGCCUACUGACGGCUGGAGGGGAGGUGAUUAGGGUAAUUUAAACUGUUCACAAAUGACUUUGCCACAGAAUGAAAGCAUUUCUUUGGCUUUGCCCAGCUCCUUUCAUUAUCUUUAAGCGGCCGCAGUGUUGAGUCCCAUAAGAAGUCUCACCAAGCUCUCUUUCCUUGUACAGUUUCUCAUUUGUACUGAUUAAUCAUUUUGUAAUUCCAUUCUGGGUUGACUUGCUCAUCUUUAAGGCAUUUGCUGCUUUUUCUUUGCUUGUCUAUCCUGUAACGGUUAUGUUGUCUGUUCUAAUACCUUAGCUUUAUCACUGCAAGUCAAGCUUUAAAACAUUAAUCCCUUCAUGCUUUAAUUUCAUAUUCUAUUACCAGAAUGAAUGCAAAUACUGUUUCCUUUUUCUCCCUUUUAAUCAUCUUUACUACAGCUUUUGCAUAUGGGCCAAAAGUAAAGUAAGCUUUUUAUUAUUUAGAGUGUAACUCUUUAUUUAAAAAUAGUUUUUCAACUUCCUAUCUUUCAUUAGUUUUAAAUUCUGUUGACAAAAUAGAAAUGUUUACUGCAGAUAUCUGUAGCCUUAAAACUUAAUUUGUAGCCAGUUUUUAAUAAAAUAUGCGUAUUGUAAAUCAACAGUCUUAAGUUACUAAAGGUGGACAUGUUUUAUUAUUAUGUUUUUAAGUAUUUUGAUUGUUAACCUUGACCAGAGUUGUUCAUUUCGUUGACAACAUUUUGGAACAACAGUGGUUUUAGAUUCUUUUCAUCAGGCAGUUUGAUGCUGGGCAAGAAAGUAAAAAGGAUAUAGUCAACCCUACUCUUUUCGUAGGUAAUAAUUGAGAAUCCAGAAAAUUUAAGUGAUUGACUUACAAACAAUAAAUAAUUAUUUUGUGAAUAUUUAUUUUUUAGAAAAUUAAUAGAAUUUGAGGCUUGUUUGUAAGUUUAUCUUGUGUGGGCAAUGCUUUAUUAGGCUAAAUGAUGCUUUGUAUCUAUUGCAUAAAGUAUGUAUUUACAUAUAUAUCUAUAUAUAUGCAUGUGUACAUAUAUGUAUAUAUAUACACAUAUAACACAAAUAUAGCUGUGUUGAAAAUAUUGACAGAUGCAAUACUUUGAAAAAUGCAAAAGUGUGAAGAUCAGUAAAACAUUAUUUUAUGACAUGUUAAUACAAUAGAAGUAAGUGGCUUCGAUUAAAACAAAUGUUAAAAGUUGAUAAUUUUCUAAUAUUUUUAAAAGUCAGUUAAUAGGCUGCUGGUUAUUCUUUGCUUGAGAUGAAUUAAAACCUUGUGAUAAAUGAUAUCAAGAUUUUUUAUAAUCUAAAAAUUGGUAUUUUUGUUCAAAGUCAGUCUUUGAUGACGUCAAGAACUUCAAAUUCAGAAUAUGGUAUGUUUUAACAUAGUACAGUUACAAAAAUGGGGACGUUUACAUUAACCCCCUAACUCAAAUUUAGCUAUUGUUAGAGGUUUACAUUGAGAGAUCUGAGGAUUCAUUUGUUUAUAGCUGGUAACCAGAAACAUGACACAGACAAAUUUAUACAGAACAGUAGGAUUUUUUUUUUUUUGGUACAAAUAGAUAAAAAGAAUAAACAUGAAACUGGCUUCAGCUGUGCAUAUUAGUUUAGUGUAUGUUAGCAAUCCCAUCCCAAGACAAAAUCCUUGGUUCACACGGUUUUGUAAAUAUAAUCAGUAGUUUCUGGGAAGGACAGACAGGAGAUGAAUGCUGGCAAGAAAGCCCCAAAAUAUCCACUAGAUGGGAUUAUCAGUAAAAGUUUCCAGAUUAUAAUAUACUACACAAAUUAUUCAGACUGUGCAGGCUCCACUUUAUCAAUUUUUCUGUCUUUGUCUCACUACUUUUUCCACCUGUGCUUUCAUCAUGUGAUUCGUUGAAUGUGUGAAGGAAAGGAAGGGCACCUGAUAGAAUGCAUUCAGAGUGAAUGCAAUUAUUCCGUAUUCAUUUUGUUUUAUUUUAAGACUUAAGGUACAUGGCAGAUAUGUGUAUUGCAAACAACACCUUCUCUUGUAUACAGAAAAAUUACAAACUUUGUUCUCUAAAACUUUCAAUCCUUUAAUCUUCCUGUGGAUGAAUAGCUCCCUCCUUCUGCCCCCCAAAGCCUUAGUCUGUCAUGACCUUUCAUACCUGUUUUGUCUUUAGAAACAGCUUUGUAAAUGUCACAAGCUUAGGAUUCUUUUUAGAGGCUUUGGGUUUCAGCUCUCUAACCACUGAGUAAUCAAAUUCAGGUUGGUUGUGGUUCAUGAUAUUUAUUGACUGCUAGUUUGGCUUUAGGACCCUAAUGCCAUAGGUUGAAGUGCCGUAUUGUCCUAUUAUCAAAGAAAAGUCAAAGACUAAGAGUCUUGUUAGUUUCCCUUUUUAUCUAUUUAUUUUAAAAAAAUAUUUCUACAACUUUAAUAGUUUUAAGUUCAUGAUUUUUCUUCUGUUGAUAUGCACGAAAAACAAAAAAACCUCAACCUAUGACCAAUUUGCAUCUAGAUAAUAUCAUCCAAAGACUGAACUAAAGAAUGCUGACCAAAACUAGGUCUUCAAAUGAAAUUGGCAGGAGGAAAAUACAACUAGGCAUUUAUGCAGGCAUAAGAAAAGCUCUUCAAUCACAGAGAGCAAAGAUAAAACUGAAAAUUGAAGGACCAUUGAUUGCAAAAAUGCAGUAUUAUGGAUGAUGUUGAUAUUUCAAAUGGCUUAGAAAAAUUAUCCUUUUCAAGUGCAUUAACCUAAUUUUUGAAAUAAAAUAAAGAUCAAAUCUUUAAUAGUACUGAUAAUCUAUGUAAUUUCAUGAAAUAUACAAAAAACCUCAUGGUGAGAACUCUUACUCAAGAGCCAGAGCCUUUUCAUACCUGGCAAAAAUCACGGUUAGACUGGGACAAACACUGUUGGAGUUGAUUAAGCAAUGUGCCCAUUGUAUGAAUGCAAUGAAAUGUGUUUCCUGACCUUUUAUGCUGCUACUUUCUAAUUGAGCAGGUGUGCUGUUCAAAGGGAGUUCAUUAAGUGGAUUUUAGUGUGUGUGUGUGUGUGUGUGUGUGUGUGUGUGUGUGUGUGUGUGUGAAUCCGUAUAUCAGAUUUGCCAAAUGGCUCUUGAUAUUUUUGUGUUUAAAAAUAAACAUAAAACAUGUAAAUCCUGUAGUAUUUAGAUGAAAAUCUGUUCCUUUUACUUUUUC